CCUACGGGUGGCAGCAGUGAGGAAUAUUGGUCAAUGGGCUUACGCCUGAACCAGCCAAGUCGCGUGAGGGAAGACUGCCCUAUGGGUUGUAAACCUCUUUUGUCAGGGAGCAACGCCGGCUACGUGUAGCCGGACUGAGAGUACCUGAAGAAAAAGCAUCGGCUAACUCCGUGCCAGCAGCCGCGGUAAUACGGAGGAUGCGAGCGUUAUCCGGAUUUAUUGGGUUUAAAGGGUGCGUAGGCGGAAUGCCAAGUCAGCGGUAAAAUCGCGGGGCUCAACCUCGCUCCGCCGUUGAAACUGGCGUUCUUGAGUGGGCGAGAAGUAUGCGGAAUGCGUGGUGUAGCGGUGAAAUGCAUAGAUAUCACGCAGAACUCCGAUUGCGAAGGCAGCAUACCGGCGCCCUACUGACGCUGAGGCACGAAAGCGUGGGUAUCGAACAGGAUUAGAUACCCGAGUAGUC
rnacentral:rRNA from 1 species